GCGAAAACUUUACAAUGCUGGCAACAGCGAUAAGGGAACCUCGAGUGCCAGGUUACAAAUCUGGCUGUCGAGAUGCCUAAAAAGCAUUUCAUAGCAAGGGCCGGGCAAGACCGGUGCCAGCCGCCGCGGUAACACCGGCGGCUCGAGUGGUAACCGUUAUUAUUGGGUCUAAAGGGUCUGUAGCCGGCCGGAUAAGUCUCUUGAGAAAUCUGGCAGCUUAACGGUCAGGCUUUCAGGAGAUACUGUCUGGCUCGAGGCCGGGAGAGGUGAGAGGUAGUUCAGGGGUAGGUGUGAAAUCUUGUACUCCUUGAAGGACCACCAGUGGCGAAGGCGUCUCACCUGAACGGACCUGACGGCAAGGGACGAAAGCUAGGGGCACGAACC
rnacentral:rRNA from 1 species